CCUGUUUUCUCUCCCUCGGAGAAGCCGAGCCAUGUGAGGCAGAUUGGGAACUCUCGGGCGCUCCAGACGAGCUUCCCAAGCCGUUUGGCCGGCGACGUGUGUGGGGGGAGGGGCGGUUGGCUCGGACGGGCCCCCCUCGGAAGGUUCCCAAAGCCGCCGGGCGGGCAGCUCGCGCGGGCUUUUAUGUUUGAGUAAAUUGGACUGCCCUGCCUGCAUAUUUGAUUGCAAAAUCUAGCUCUGCAUGGGACAUAUGACAAGAUACCCCACAAGAAAGGUGGAAGUGGAAGUGCAUUUAAGUUUAGAAGGAACAUAAUAAAUGUAGGCUGAAGCUACACUGAAACUGCAGUCACAACAGGUAGGAAGUAAAAAUGGCAUGAAAUGGCACUUGAAAGAAAGUCACACUGAUCUCACAGCGGAGCUUCUUUUCAUAGGGGUUUUGCUUUCCCUUCCGCUGCAGCUGCCAGGGACAGCAACCAUCCAGGGAGAGAGGGGACAGCUGGCCUGAUGUGGGAGCCUGGGGCCCUGUUGGCAUUACAUGGGGGUAGCCAGAUGCCCAUUAUCUCUCCCACAGCUGAGAGAAGAAUUUGAUGCCAGAAGAAGGCACAUGUGCAUGCAGGAUUUUGAAGGUUACAGGGGGCAAGGCUGGAUCAUCAGCAACCGUAUAAGAGCAGUGGAAAAGAGGUACAAGAACACUCAGCAAACCUGAUGCGGGCCGCUCACAAAGUGCCUUUAGGGAAACACAGCUGGAGUUCUGAGGCAAUACUGGUGUGAUGCUAUGCAAAAUCCUCAGUUUCCUUCCUGUUCUUCCUCUGUCGUCCUCUCCCAGCUCCCACCUGACAAUCAUCCUGCUUUGCAAAUCCUUUUAAUAUAUCCAACAUAUUCUAAAUGAUACAAUUAGCAUCCCAUCUCUUAAUUUUUUAAAAAGUAUACGUAUUUAGGAGAGAGCUUGUCCAAAAGGGACACCCCAAAAUACUCUUUUCCUUGUACUCUGUGCCAUUUAUAUGUUCAAUGUUAUUUUCUUACAGUAAGGGGGGCAGUUGCUUUGUUUUAAUGUCCCUCUGGUUGUAUGUAAUUGUAUAUCCAUCUAUCUGGAUUUGCAAGAUCCCAUUUCAUGGUUUCUAAGUGUAAUUAAUUGUUAUGAAUGUCUUGAGGUAGCAACAAGAGAAAGGCUUCUGCAAACACACUACUAGAAUUUAAUCAGUCUUUGGAAGGUUGGAGAUCUCAAAAAUGUUUUGUUAUUGUUAUGUGCCUUCAAAUCGGCUAUGACUUAUGGCAACCCUAUGAAUCAGCGACCUCCAAUAGCAUCUGUUAUAAACCACCCUGUUCAGAUUG